UUGACCUCGGAUCAGGUAGGGAUACCCGCUGAACUUAAGCAUAUCAG
rnacentral:rRNA from 1 species